ensembl:snoRNA
AAAACUAUACUUUCAGGGGUCGUUUCUAUAGUUUCUGACUUGAGAAAUGUGUUUCUAAAGUGUUUGGUCUCGCUAACCACGAUGAUGAGUCGUGAUAUUUCCUUCUGAGCGUGAAACUAACAGAGAAUAAUGAUUCAGUUCAUAUGUUCUCUGUCAUUGAUGACUGUUCAUUGUUUUCUAGAGGAGCAUUGAGGAAGGGAAUAUGAUCAGAGUGGUA